AAUGACUCUCGGCAACGGAUAUCUCGGCUCUCGCAUCGAUGAAGAACGCAGCAAAAUGCGAUACUUGGUGUGAAUUGCAGAAUCCCGUGAAUCAUCGAGUUUUUGAACGCAAGUUGCGCCCGAAGCCUUCCGGCCAAGGGCACGUCUGCCUGGGUGUCAUGC
rnacentral:rRNA from 1 species